rnacentral:lncRNA from 1 species
CUAUUUUACUACGAAAUUAUUACUAACAAUUAUAUUAUUUAUUCACUUAUUGAGAAACUAAUCACAGAAUUUGAUGAGUUAAUGAAUAAGAAUCUAAUAAAUCAAUGAAGAACUAGUAAUGGAAACUAACUUCUCUUUACUUUCCUUUUAGGGCUAUAGUCAAUAUAUUACUCCACUUCCCAAGAAAAGUUGGCAAGGAUAGGCCAUGUUAUUUUCAGUUUCCUUUUAUUCUGGAAGUGGGCAAAUCAAGCGAUGCAGAACCAAUUACACUGAACGAUUUGUUGUUUUUGUCAGCUCUAUACACUUUUGCACAUUGUCACAAGUGAUUUUAUUUUUCUGCAGUUAUAAGAAAAAGAAAUGCGCGUGGAAGGGAUCUAAAUGGAUGCCCUUUGUUUCUGAUGUGCCAUGUUCCUUUAUGAAGUGACAAGUUGGAAUAAACCUAAUCACCACUAAUAGCAAAGAUUUUACUAAUUAAACCCACGAGGAAACUUUGUAUAAGGAACUAUCUUUGCCUUAGUAUGAAACAGUCUUCAUUUCUUAUCUAGCCAAUUGCAUAACAAAUCCUGUCCUCUUUACUCCUCCAGUGAUGAGCAUGGUGAUGGAUUUAUUGCUCCCAUCCAAGUGAGCCUUGACUUGUUCUUCAUUUUCAUAAGAAAACAACAUUGGCUGUCUUUUCUGCUGAUUUGACUUUUGAAAUGAGGAACAGAAUGUCCUCAUAAAGAUCACCGGGUAUCUUUGAUUCUGGUCAACAAAAGUUAUUAGUUUCUCAUUUCCAUAACUACCUACUGCUAUCUUCAUCUUUUAAGAUAAACAUGUAAGAAUCGAAGUUGAGUUAACCUGUAACUGCCUCCCAA